AUACACUCCUCACAAGUUCUUUUGAUGCAACAAAGAAUUGUGGUAAAAACCAUGAUAUAGAAAAAGGUUUGAGGAUGGUAUUCUACUUGAGUUGUUGGGGGCCCCAGUUGAUGAGCUGACCCAAAUUCAGAUGGAAAAUGCUUAAAGACCAGCUAAGGAAGAUUUCCCUAUGUUUAUUAAAGCUCUGUAAGAGCACACAGG
rnacentral:misc_RNA from 1 species